rnacentral:rRNA from 1 species
UACGAAGGGGGCUAGCGUUGCUCGGAAUCACUGGGCGUAAAGGGUGCGUAGGCGGGUCUUUAAGUCAGAGGUGAGAUCCUGGAGCUCAACUCCAGAACUGCCUUUGAUACUGAGGAUCUUGAGUACGGGAGAGGUGAGUGGAACUGCGAGUGUAGAGGUGAAAUUCGUAGAUAUUCGCAAGAACACCAGUGGCGAAGGCGGCUCACUGGCCCGUUACUGACGCUGAGGCACGAAAGCGUGGGGAGCAAACAGG